rnacentral:rRNA from 1 species
UACGGAGGGUGCAAGCGUUAUCCGGAUUCACUGGGUUUAAAGGGUGCGUAGGAGGGCAGGUAAGUCAGUGGUGAAAUCUCCAAGCUUAACUUGGAAACUGCCGUUGAUACUAUCAGUCUUGAAUACCGUGGAGGUGAGCGGAAUAUGUCAUGUAGCGGUGAAAUGCUUAGAUAUGACAUAGAACACCAAUUGCGAAGGCAGCUCGCUACACGAAUAUUGACUCUGAGGCACGAAAGCGUGGGGAUCAAACAGG